rnacentral:lncRNA from 1 species
GGUAUUAGAAACUAAUAUCUGGGCAUUACUAGUGCUCAUUGCUACUGUGAUACUGUUUCUGAGUCCUCUAGCUGACAGAGAAUGGUAAUGUAUUUGUACAUACUAAUCCAGGUCAUACACAAAUAUCUAUAAAUAUUUCUAUAUUUAAUGGUGUAUGUCUAUAUUCAGCCAAAUAUUAAUUCAUACUAAUGUCUACAACUCUAAUCCAUUGCCACAUGAAUCAUUCCAGCCCUUUUCCCUUACUUAUCUGUAAAUGCCCACUCCAACAGUGGUAAAUCUGGCUCCUGCCUUCCACCAACCAUCCAAUUCGUUGUUCAGUUCUACUCUAUAUGUACAGUGGUAUCAGAACGUUUAACCUGUAGCCAGUGGGAAACAGUGUUAUUAACUAGAAUGCAGUGGCAGUGCUGUGUACAGUUUCUUUUGACUGUGUCUUACAGACUCAACUCAUUUCCAAAGUUGCUUAUGUCAGCACCUUUUCCCCUCCCUCUUCAGUGAGGUUGUGUAAUGCAUUUUUAAUAAAGUUGGUUUUGUCACAUUCUGCAUUCCAUUCUAGGAUUCCCUGACCUCCUAAAUACGAUUUUAAAUUUACAUACAUCAAGAUUUACUUUUUAUCCUCAGUGUAAUGUAUCCACAUUGUGUCAUACAAAAUAGUUUCACCACCCUAAAAGUUCUGAGCUUCACCUAUUCACUCCCCAACCCCUGAAAAUGGUGAUUUUUAUGAUCACUGUUUUUGCCAUUUUCAGAAUGUCAUAUAAUGGAAAUCAUACAGUAUCAGUCUUUUCAGAUGGGCUUCCUUCAGUUAACAACAUGCAUUUAAGAUUCAUCCAUCUCUUUUCUGGCUUAAUAGCUCAUUUCCUUUUAUUACUAAAUAGUAUUUCAUUCUAUGGCUACACCACACUUUCCCUAUCCAUUCACAUAUUGUAGAACAUCUUGGUUACUUCUAGUUUUUAGUGGUUGUGAAUCAGCCUUCUGUAAACUUUUGCAUGUAGAUUUUUUGUGUGGAUGUAAGGUUUCAACUCCUUUGGGUAGAUAUCUAGGAAAGUGAUUGCUGGAUCAUAUGGUGAGAGUAUGUUUAGCUUUUUAGGAAACCAUUAAACUGCCUUCCAAAGUUGACAGUGUCAUUUCGCAUUCCCAUAAACAAUGAGUGAUUGCUCCUAUUGCUCUGCUUCCUCCCCAGUCGUUGGUAUCUCCAGUUUGUUUUUGUAUUUUUGCCUUUCUAAAUAGUGUGUAAUAGUACCUCAUUGCUUUUUGUUGUUGUUGUUGUUUGUUUGUUUUGAGAUGGAGUUUUGCUCUUGUCGCCUAGACUGGAGUGCAGUGGUACAAUCUCAGCUCACUGCAACCUCUGCCUCCUGGGUUCAAGUGAUUCUCCUGCCUUAGCCUCCUGAGUAGCUGGGGCUACAGGCACGCACCACCACGUCUGGCUAAUUUUUUGUAUUUUUAGUAGAGACAGGAUUUCACCAUGUUGGCCAGGCUGUUCUCAAACUCCUGACCUCAAGUGAUCCAUCUGCCUUGGCCUCUCAAAGUGCUGGGAUUACAGGCGUGAACCACCAGGCCCCGCCUCAUUGCCGUUUUAAUCGUAUGAAUUUUUUCUUUCAUGGAUCAUGAUUUUGCUGUUCUAUCAAAAACUUUAUCGCAAAACCCUAGAUUUUCUCUUAUGUUUACUUCUAGAAGUUUUAUCAUUUUGUAUUUUAUAAUUAGGGCCCUGAUACAUUUUCAGUUAAUUUUCAUGAAAGGUAUAAGGUUUGUGUCUGGGUUUUUUUUUUUUGUUUUUUUUUUUUGGUAUAUGUAUGUCCAAUUAUUCCAGCCCCAUUUUUGAAAAGACUUUUUUUUUUCAUUGACUUGCCUUUGUUCCUUUGUUAAAGAUCAGCAGACUCUGCAUAGAUUAAUUUCUGGGCUCUCAAUUCUGUUUCAUUGACCUAUCUACCUAUUCUUUUAAAUAUAUGCUGUCUUGAUUAUUAUAGCUUUAUAGUGAGUCUUGAAAUUUGGUAAUAAAAGGGCUCAACUUUGUUCUUCUUCGGUAGUGUAUUGACUAUUCUAGGCCAAUUCUAGGAAGGUCUUUGUCCUUCCCUUAUAUUUUAGCUUCUGUUUGUUGAUAUCUACAAAAGGACUUGCAGAUAUUUGAAUUGUAAUUCCAGUAAAUCUGUAGACAAAGUCUGGGAUAAUUGACAUCUUAAUAUUAUUGAGUGUUCCCAUUCAUGAACAUGGACUAUCAUUCUCGAUAUUGAGCUUUACUUUGAUUUCUUUCACCUGAGUUUUAUAGUUUUCUGCACAUAGUUCCUGUUCACAUUUGUCCAUAUGUAUGCCUAGUUAUUUUAUUUUUGGUGAUGCCGUAAGUGGUGUUAUGUUAUUAAUUUCACAUCCUAAUGUCUUAUUUCUGGUACAUAGAAAAACAAUAGACAUUUCCAUAUUGUGGUAGGGUUAAUUAUAGCCCCUCAAAAGAAACUCACAUACUAAUCCUUGGAAUCCAUUGCUAUGUUAUCUUAUAUGACAAAAGGGACUUUCCCAAUAUAAUUACAUUAAGAAUCUUGAGAUAGGGAGAUUAUUUGGGGUUAUCUGGGUGUACCCAAUGUAAUUACAAGGGUCUACAUAAGAGGAAGGCAAAAGAGCAAAAUCAGAGCUGCCAAUGUCAUAAAGCUAUGCUGAUUAUUUGAUGAUGAAGAGAGGGGCCAUGAACCAAGGAAUACAGGUGGCCUCUAGAGUGAUGAUGGGUGCCUAUAAUCUCAGCUACUCGGGAGGCUGAGGCAGGAGAAUCAUUUGAACCUGGGAGGCGGAGCUUGCAGUGAGCUGUGAUUGCACCAUUGCACUCCAGUCUGGGUCACAGGGCAAGACUCCAUCUCAAAAAAAAGAAAGAAAAAAAGAAACAAAAACAAAAUUUCUAAUGAAACCAUUUGGGCCUGCUGUUUUCUUUUUGGAAGGUUAUUAGUUAUGUUCAGUGUCUUUAAUACAAAUACACCUGUCAAGAUAAUCCAUUUCUUCUUGUACAAGUUGGUCUAUUUCACGGAAUUGGUGCAUUUCAUCUAAGCCAGAGGUCCUCAACCCUUGGGCAAUGGACAGGUCCCAAUCCAUGGCCUGUUAGUAAAAGGGCCACACAGCAGGAGGUGAGUAGUGGAAUUUGUAGUACAUUUAUUUUUUUCUUGGUUACCUUAACUAGAGAUUUAUCAAUCAAUUUUAUUGAUUUUUUUAAAGAACAGCAUUUCAUUUCUUUGAUAUUCUCAAUUGUUUUCCUGUUUUAGAUAUUAUCAAUUUCUGCUCUAAUUUUUUUAUGCUUUUCUUCUAUAACUUCAGAUGAUCAAUUUUGGAUCUUCUUCUCUUAUAUAUUCAGUAAUACUAUUAAUUUCUGUCUAAGCACUGCUUUCAUUGCAUCCUACAAAUUUUGAUAAAUUGCAUUUUCAUUUUUCUUUAAUUCAAAAUAUUUUAUAUUUCUCUUGAGCCUACUUAUUUAGAUCGUGCGAUAUUUAGAAUUGUGUUAUUUAAUCUCUGCUAUAGGUUAAAUGAUUGUCGCCUCAAAAUCUCAUGUUCAAAUUUGAUCCCAGUGUUGGAGAUGGGGCUUCAUGGGAGGCAUUUGGGUCUUGGAGGUGGAUCUCUCCUGAAUAGAGUAAUGCCCUCCCUUGGUGGGUGGAUGAGCACAUUCUCACUCCAUUGGUUCCCACAAAAGCUGGUUGUUAAAUAGAGCCUGACCCCUCCCUCUUCUCUCUCUUGCCUUCCCUCUCACCACGUGAUCACUGAACAUGCUGGCUGCCCUUCACCUUCUGCCUGAAUUACUAAAAAAGAAGUUUGAAGUCUCCAACUGCAAUAGUGAAUUUGUAUAUUUCUCCAUGCCUAUAAUCCCAGCACUUUGGGAGGCUGAGGCAGGCAGAUCACCUGAGGUCAGGAGUUCAAGGCCAGCCUAGCCAACAUGGUGAAACCCCAUCUCUAUAAAAAUACAAAAAUUAGCCAGGCAUGAUGGCAGAUGCCUGUAAUCCCAGCUACAUGGGAGGCUGAGGCAGGAGAAUCACUUGAACCCAGGAGGAGGAGCUUGCAGUGAGCCAUGAUCAUAUCACUGCACUCCAGCCUGGGUGACAGAGUGAGACUGCAACUCAAAAAAAAUAUAAAAAUAAAAAUAUUUUAAUGGUAGCCUGAGUUUCCAACAUACAUUUUAAGUAAUCUAACUCCACCUUUAAAUGACACUAUGCCACCAUCAUUGCUGUCAUUCACUUCACUAAUCAUAUGAUACCAUCAUCGUAUUAUUACUUUAAAUAGUUAUUUUUAGAUCAAUUAAGAAUAAGAAAAGAAAAAAAGAUUUUCUUUUACCUUUAUUUAUUCCUUCUUUGGCACUCUUCCUUUGUUACGCAGAUUUGAGUUUCUGAACUUUAUCACCUUCCUUUUCCGUGAGGAACUUCUUUUAAUAUUUUCUUACAGGGAAGGUCUGAUGGUGAUUAUUUCCCUCAGCAUUUGUCUGAGGAAGUCUUUAUUUCUCAAGUUUGUAUUUUUUUUCUUUAUUUUAGCAUUUAAAUACUUCACUCCAGUCUUCUUGCUUCUGUGUUUCUGAUGGGAAGUCUAAUUUAAUUCUUGUCCUGUUUUGCUGUAAGUCAGGUUACUUUUUCUCUGACUCCUUUGAAGAUUUUCUUUUUGUCUUUGGUUUUCUGAAGUUUGUGUAUAAUUGUUUUGGUAUUUCUCCUGUUUACUGUUCUCUACUUCUUGACUUGUGAUUUGCUGUGGUUAAUUUGGGAAAAUCCUCUGACAGUGUUACUUCAAAUAUUUCUUUAGUUUCUUGUUCUUGUUCUUCUCCUUCUGGUAUUCCAAAUAGAUGUAUAUUAUACUUUCGAAAUUAUUUCUGUUGACUUAUCUUCAAGCUUACUCAUUCUUUCCUCAAACUUGUUCUGUUGAUGAACCUAUUGAAGACAUUCUUUAUUUAUGUCAGUGAUUUUUAUUAUUUCUAGCAUUUCCUUUUGAUUGUUUCCUAGAGUUUCCAUCACUCUUCUUACAUUACACAUCUAUUUUUGCAUGUUGACUGUUUCCUCCAUUAGAGUCUUUAAAAUCUAAAACAGUUAUUUUAAAUUCUCUAUCUGAUAAUUUCCAAAUUUGUGUCAAAUCUGAGUCUGGUUCUGAUGCUUGCUUUGUCUUUCUGACUUGUUUUUUCUUGCUUUUUUUCAUACCUUAAAAUUUUCCAUUAAAACCCAUACAUAAUAUAUUGAAGAGUAAUCAGUGAGGCAAACAGGCCUUUAGUGAGCAUUUUUUGUUGUUAUUAUUAAUCUGGCUGAGAAUCAAGCUAUAUAUAAUGUUUGCUGUAGAUGUAGGUAGCGGUGGCUUCAAAUUCCUCUAGUAUCCUUAUUUUGUCUCCACUCUUGACUUUGGGCAUCCUUAUAUACUCCUCCACAGAGAGUCUGUGUUUUCUGGCUCUUUUAGGUGUAAUCCACAGUUACAUUGGAGCCCUGUUAGUGUGGUGAGAAGGUUGGCAUAGGGGAAGUAUUCUAUACUCUUAUGAUUACAUCACAGUCUUUUAGGGGGUCCAUGUCCCUUACAAGCAUUUCUUAGCUUUGCUUCUCCCCUUACAAGGAACAGGAAGGAUAUUGGUGCCCAGAGUGUGAAAAGUGACCUUACCUCAAGUGGGAUAAGUCUCUGCUAAAGGUUUUAUCCCUCACUGGAGGGUAGGUCUUUGUUAUGGAGAAUAUUCUGGGUAUAUUUCACAAUAACUUCUCUUCCAUGCGCCCCACAUGACCAUGAUGGCAUUUUCUCAACUCUUUACUGUGAGAGCUUGGUGGGGCUUCUGGAGGUAAAAUCCACAACUGUGUGGGAUUCCAAGAGUGUGACCCCAGGAGUUUAUCACUCUCACGCAACUCCACACUAGCGCUCCGGAAAAUCAUCAGCAUUACCACUGAAGUGCUACCAAGAGUUUGUUUCUAGUGGUUUCUGCACCGGGUAAACAGAUCUCAGCUGUGACUCCCCUAAUUCAUCUAUCUUUGCAGAUUUCUGGGUGGCUGUUUGCUGUAGGAACUUCAUUCUCAUUUGGAUACACGAAUUGUCACUGAUUUUCAGUUCACUCAGGUUCUUCUUGUGGUAAGAGUGGAAGCAAUGACUUUUAAGAACUUUACACAUUGGAGUUAAAGCCAGAUGUCUCUUAAUGUACCUUUUUUUGACCUUAUGCUCUCCUGUUUUAUUCUUCCCUCACUUUAUGGCUCUUCUAUCAUGCUAUAAGCAGCAAGAGAAAAAUAGUGUCUUCCCCACUGCCCAGAAAUCUCCUUAGCCAUGUAGCCAAGUCUAUCAGGUAUAUCUUCUGUUUUCAGCAUAACUGCAGACCACAUUAGCACUAGGCUUUUGUCAUAUCAUAAUAAACAUCUCUCUUCCAAUGAGAUCACAGGGAGCCAUCUCAGAAUCAGCCUACUAUAACUCCCAUCACUAUUUUAUAUGAUUAAUACAAAGGCCAGUAAAUUCAGUGCCAUGUGGCCAGCUUUACUAAUAAAUCAUAUUUUUGAUGGUAAAAUCUGUAGCUUACAGAUAUGAUUGUAUUCAUUAGAGAUCCAUUUUUCGUCCUGGAUAAGCAAGACAACACAAUAGAUUACACAACGUUAGGCUUGAAGAAACAAAGUACAAGGGAGGUGAGGGGUCCUCAACAUUUCUCUUUUCCUCCAUCGCUGCCCAUUCCCAGACUCUCUCCCACAGCUCACUCUCCUUCUGGACACCUGCGAGUUCUGUCCUUGCUUCUCUGCAAUGUAGCUGUUGCUUUCAACACCCCGAAGCAUCUUUGCUAUGGCUCUUAAGCUGAAACAAACGCAGACCACCCCAAGCCUCAUGUGAUAGAGGAAUCCUCAAAGCUGAAAUCUGCCUUCCAUAUCUCAUAGGGUGGUCACGGUAACGCCCUGGAAGAACUCCAAGUACCUAGAGAGGAACAAUGAAGGCCUCUGCUGCUGUGCUUUGGAAUCCACGGCAGCAUUUGCGUGCAAUCACACCUUCCUACUCCUAGCCAAUAACGGGAGUAUGGCAGGGAUACUAGCGCAGGCCUCGCCCUGGCAGGUGUGGGACCUUGCUGGUAGCCAGCUCUGGUUCAAGGACUU